rnacentral:rRNA from 1 species
UUAAGCGACUAAGCGUACACGGUGGAUGCCCUGGCAGUCAGAGGCGAUGAAGGACGUGCUAAUCUGCGAUAAGCGUCGGUAAGGUGAUAUGAACCGUUAUAACCGGCGAUUUCCGAAUGGGGAAACCCAGUGUGAUUCGUCACACUAUCAUUAACUGAAUCCAUAGGUUAAUGAGGCGAACCGGGGGAACUGAAACAUCUAAGUACCCCGAGGAAAAGAAAUCAACCGAGAUUCCCCCAGUAGCGGCGAGCGAACGGGGAGCAGCCCAGAGCCUGAAUCAGUGUGUGUGUUAGUGGAAGCGUCUGGAAAGGCGCGCGAUACAGGGUGACAGCCCCGUACACAAAAAUGCACAUACUGUGAGCUCGAUGAGUAGGGCGGGACACGUGGUAUCCUGUCUGAAUAUGGGGGGACCAUCCUCCAAGGCUAAAUACUCCUGACUGACCGAUAGUGAACCAGUACCGUGAGGGAAAGGCGAAAAGAACCCCGGCGAGGGGAGUGAAAAAGAACCUGAAACCGUGUACGUACAAGCAGUGGGAGCACAGAGCAAUCUGUGUGACUGCGUACCUUUUGUAUAAUGGGUCAGCGACUUAUAUUCUGUAGCAAGGUUAACCGAAUAGGGGAGCCGAAGGGAAACCGAGUCUUAACUGGGCGUUAAGUUGCAGGGUAUAGACCCGAAACCCGGUGAUCUAGCCAUGGGCAGGUUGAAGGUUGGGUAACACUAACUGGAGGACCGAACCGACUAAUGUUGAAAAAUUAGCGGAUGACUUGUGGCUGGGGGUGAAAGGCCAAUCAAACCGGGAGAUAGCUGGUUCUCCCCGAAAGCUAUUUAGGUAGCGCCUCGUGAAUUCAUCUCCGGGGGUAGAGCACUGUUUCGGCAAGGGGGUCAUCCCGACUUACCAACCCGAUGCAAACUGCGAAUACCGGAGAAUGUUAUCACGGGAGACACACGGCGGGUGCUAACGUCCGUCGUGAAGAGGGAAACAACCCAGACCGCCAGCUAAGGUCCCAAAGUCAUGGUUAAGUGGGAAACGAUGUGGGAAGGCCCAGACAGCCAGGAUGUUGGCUUAGAAGCAGCCAUCAUUUAAAGAAAGCGUAAUAGCUCACUGGUCGAGUCGGCCUGCGCGGAAGAUGUAACGGGGCUAAACCAUGCACCGAAGCUGCGGCAGCGACGCUGAUGCGUUGUUGGGUAGGGGAGCGUUCUGUAAGCCUGUGAAGGUGUACUGUGAGGUAUGCUGGAGGUAUCAGAAGUGCGAAUGCUGACAUAAGUAACGAUAAAGCGGGUGAAAAGCCCGCUCGCCGGAAGACCAAGGGUUCCUGUCCAACGUUAAUCGGGGCAGGGUGAGUCGACCCCUAAGGCGAGGCCGAAAGGCGUAGUCGAUGGGAAACAGGUUAAUAUUCCUGUACUUGGUGUACUGCGAAGGGGACGGAGAAGGCUAUGUUGGCCGGGCGACGGUUGUCCCGGUUUAAGCGGUAGGCUGGUUUUCCGUGCAAAUCCGGAAAACUAAGGCUGAGGCGUGAUGACGAGGCACUACGGUGCUGAAGCAACAAAUGCCCUGCUUCCGUGAAAAGCCUCUAAGCAUCAGGUAACAUCAAAUCGUACCCCAAACCGACACAGGUGGUCAGGUAGAGAAUACCAAGGCGCUUGAGAGAACUCGGGUGAAGGAACUAGGCAAAAUGGUGCCGUAACUUCGGGAGAAGGCACGCUGAUAUGUAGGUGAAGUCCCUCGCGGAUGGAGCUGAAAUCAGUCGAAGAUACCAGCUGGCUGCAACUGUUUAUUAAAAACACAGCACUGUGCAAACACGAAAGUGGACGUAUACGGUGUGACGCCUGCCCGGUGCCGGAAGGUUAAUUGAUGGGGUCAGCGCAAGCGAAGCUCUUGAUCGAAGCCCCGGUAAACGGCGGCCGUAACUAUAACGGUCCUAAGGUAGCGAAAUUCCUUGUCGGGUAAGUUCCGACCUGCACGAAUGGCGUAAUGAUGGCCAGGCUGUCUCCACCCGAGACUCAGUGAAAUUGAACUCGCUGUGAAGAUGCAGUGUACCCGCGGCAAGACGGAAAGACCCCGUGAACCUUUACUAUAGCUUGACACUGAACAUUGAGCCUUGAUGUGUAGGAUAGGUGGGAGGCUUUGAAGUGUGGACGCCAGUCUGCAUGGAGCCGACCUUGAAAUACCACCCUUUAAUGUUUGAUGUUCUAACGUUGACCCGUAAUCCGGGUUGCGGACAGUGUCUGGUGGGUAGUUUGACUGGGGCGGUCUCCUCCUAAAGAGUAACGGAGGAGCACGAAGGUUGGCUAAUCGGUCGGACAUCAGGAGGUUAGUGCAAUGGCAUAAGCCAGCUUGACUGCGAGCGUGACGGCGCGAGCAGGUGCGAAAGCAGGUCAUAGUGAUCCGGUGGUUCUGAAUGGAAGGGCCAUCGCUCAACGGAUAAAAGGUACCGGGGAUAACAGGCUGAUACCGCCCAAGAGUUCAUAUCGACGGCGGUGUUUGGCACCUCGAUGUCGGCUCAUCACAUCCGGGCUGAAGUAGGUCCCAAGGGUAUGGCUGUUCGCCAUUUAAAGUGGUACGCGAGCUGGGUUUAGAACGUCGUGAGACAGUUCGGUCCCUAUCUGCCGUGGGCGCUGGAGAACUGAGGGGGGCUGCUCCUAGUACGAGAGGACCGGAGUGGACGCAUCACUGGUGUUCGGGUUGUCAUGCCAAUGGCACUGCCCGGUAGCUAAAUGCGGAAGAGAUAAGUGCUGAAAGCAUCUAAGCACGAAACUUGCCCCGAGAUGAGUUCUCCCUGACUCCUUGAGAGUCCUGAAGGAACGUUGAAGACGACGACGUUGAUAGGCCGGGUGUGUAAGCGCAGCGAUGCGUUGAGCUAACCGGUACUAAUGAACCGUGAGGCUUAACCU